UUUAAAUGGUUAACAUUUGUGCUGCAGUAUAGCUUUCUAGCUCAUGAAAAAUGAAAGCUAUCAGCGAUCUGGGCAAUAAGAUUCAUCGUCAAUAGUCACUAGCAACAGCACACAGCAUUUUAAUAUCAGCGAGGUCCACAGCUAGCAGUAAGAGCUGGUGUAAUUGAAAGACGUUUAGGUGCAAUCAUUCUGCUGUUGUUCCUUGCCGUGUUCAACAUGGGAUUGUCACGCAAGUCAUCAGAAGCAUCUGCUUGCUCCUCAGAAGUAUCUG